GACGAACGCUGGCGGCAUGCCUAAUACAUGCAAGUCGUACGCUUCUUUUUCCACCGGAGCUUGCUCCACCGGAAAAAGAGGAGUGGCGAACGGGUGAGUAACACGUGGGUAACCUGCCCAUCAGAAGGGGAUAACACUUGGAAACAGGUGCUAAUACCGUAUAACAAUCGAAACCGCAUGGUUUUGAUUUGAAAGGCGCUUUCGGGUGUCGCUGAUGGAUGGACCCGCGGUGCAUUAGCUAGUUGGUGAGGUAACGGCUCACCAAGGCCACGAUGCAUAGCCGACCUGAGAGGGUGAUCGGCCACAUUGGGACUGAGACACGGCCCAAACUCCUACGGGAGGCAGCAGUAGGGAAUCUUCGGCAAUGGACGAAAGUCUGACCGAGCAACGCCGCGUGAGUGAAGAAGGUUUUCGGAUCGUAAAACUCUGUUGUUAGAGAAGAAUAAGGAUGAGAGUAACUGUUCAUCCCUUGACGGUAUCUAACCAGAAAGCCACGGCUAACUACGUGCCAGCAGCCGCGGUAAUACGUAGGUGGCAAGCGUUGUCCGGAUUUAUUGGGCGUAAAGCGAGCGCAGGCGGUUUCUUAAGUCUGAUGUGAAAGCCCCCGGCUCAACCGGGGAGGGUCAUUGGAAACUGGGAGACUUGAGUGCAGAAGAGGAGAGUGGAAUUCCAUGUGUAGCGGUGAAAUGCGUAGAUAUAUGGAGGAACACCAGUGGCGAAGGCGGCUCUCUGGUCUGUAACUGACGCUGAGGCUCGAAAGCGUGGGGAGCAAACAGGAUUAGAUACCCUGGUAGUCCACGCCGUAAAC
rnacentral:rRNA from 1 species